GAACUAGAUGUGGGGACCAUUCCACGGUCUCCGUGUCGCAGCUAACGCAUUAAGUUCCCCGCCUGGGGAGUACGGCCGCAAGGCUAAAACUCAAAGGAAUUGACGGGGGCCCGCACAAGCGGCGGAGCAUGCGGAUUAAUUCGAUGCAACGCGAAGAACCUUACCAAGGCUUGACAUAUACCGGAAACGUCUGGAAACAGUCGCCCCGCAAGGUCGGUAUACAGGUGGUGCAUGGUUGUCGUCAGCUCGUGUCGUGAGAUGUUGGGUUAAGUCCCGCAACGAGCGCAACCCUCGUCCUAUGUUGCCAGCACGUAAUGGUGGGAACUCAUGGGAUACUGCCGGGGUCAACUCGGAGGAAGGUGGGGAUGACGUCAAAUCAUCAUGCCCCUUAUGUCUUGGGCUUCACGCAUGCUACAAUGGCCGGUACAAAGGGCUGCAAUACCGUAAGGUGGAGCGAAUCCCAAAAAGCCGGUCUCAGUUCGGAUUGAGGUCUGCAACUCGACCUCAUGAAGUCGGAGUCGCUAGUAAUCGCAGAUCAGCAACGCUGCGGUGAAUACGUUCCCGGGCCUUGUACACACCGCCCGUCAAGUCAUGAAAGUC
rnacentral:rRNA from 1 species